rnacentral:rRNA from 1 species
AUUGAACGCUGGCGGCAUGCCUUACACAUGCAAGUCGAACGGUAACGGGCCUUCGGGUGCCGACGAGUGGCGGACGGGUGAGUAAUACAUCGGAACGUGCCCGAUCGUGGGGGUUAACGAGGCGAAAGCUUUGCUAAUACCGCAUACGAUCUACGGCUGCCAGCAGGGGACCGCAAGGCCUUGCGCGGACGGAGCGGCCGAUGGCAGAUUAGGUAGUUGGUGGGAUAAAAGCUUACCAAGCCGACGAUCUGUAGCUGGUCUGAGAGGAUGAUCAGCCACACUGGGACUGAGACACGGCCCAGACUCCUACGGGAGGCAGCAGUGGGGAAUUUUGGACAAUGGGCGCAAGCCUGAUCCAGCCAUGCCGCGUGCAGGAUGAAGGCCUUCGGGUUGUAAACUGCUUUUGUACGGAACGAAAAGCAUUCUUUUAAUACAGGAGGGUCAUGACGGUACCGUAAGAAUAAGCACCGGCUAACUACGUG